AGCUAGAUGGUGAGGUAAUGGCUCACCAUGGCGAAGAUCGAUAGCCGGCCUGAGAGGGCUCACGGCCACACUGGCACUGAAACACGGGCCAGACUCCUACGGGAGGCAGCAGUGGGGAAUCUUGCACAAUGGAGGAAACUCUGAUGCAGCGACGCCGCGUGAGUGAUGAAGCCCUUCGGGGUGUAAAGCUCUUUCGACAGGAACGAUAAUGACGGUACCUGAAGAAGAAGCUGCGGCUAACUACGUGCCAGCAGCCGCGGUAAUACGUAGGCAGCAAGCGUUGUUCGGAAUUACUGGGCGUAAAGAGUGUGUAGGCGGUGCUCUAAGUUUGGUGUGAAAUCUCCCGGCUCAACCGGGAGGCUGCAUCGAAUACUGGAAUGCUAGAGGGUGGGAGAGGUAAGCGGAAUUCCUGGUGUAGCGGUGAAAUGCGUAGAUAUCAGGAGGAACACCUGUGGUGUAGACAGCUUACUGGACCACUUCUGACGCUGAGACACGAAAGCGUGGGUAGCAAACAGGAUUAGAUACCCUGGUAGUCCACGCCCUAAACGAUGCAUACUUGGUGUGGGCCAUUCAUUUGGUCUGUGCCGGAGCUAACGCGUUAAGUAUGCCGCCUGGGGAGUACGGCCGCAAGGUUAAAACUCAAAGAAAUUGACGGGGGCCCGCACAAGCGGUGGAGCAUGUGGUUUAAUUCGAAGCAACGCGCAGAACCUUACCCACCUUUGACAUCCCGUGCUAUCUAGAGAGAUCUAGAGUCCCUUCGGGGCGCGGAGACAGGUGCUGCAUGGCUGUCGUCAGCUCGUGUCGUGAGAUGUUGGGUUAAGUCCCGCAACGAGCGCAACCCUCGCUUCUAGUUGCCAGCAUUUAGUUGGGCACUCUAGAGGAACUGCCUGCGCCAAGCAGGAGGAAGGCGGGGAUGACGUCAAGUCCUCAUGGCCCUUACAGGUGGGGCUACACACGUGCUACAAUGGCGGUGACAAAGGGAUAAUCCCUAAAAGCCGUCUCAGUUCGGAUUGUCCUCUGCAACUCGAGGGCAUGAAGUUGGAAUCGCUAGUAAUCGCGGAUCAGCACGCCGCGGUGAAUACGUUCCCGGGCCUUGUACACACCGCCCGUCACACCAUGGGAGUUGGUUCUACCCGAAGGCGUUGCGCCGACCGCAAGGAGGCAGGCGACCACGGUAGUGUCAGCGACUGGGGUGAAGUCGAAACAAGGUAGCCGUAGGGGAACCUGCGGCUG
rnacentral:rRNA from 1 species